CUUAAGCAUUUACGCAUGAUUCUAUCUCCCCCUAAUUCUUAGGUAGCAGUUGCCCUCUGUUCUCCAUUUCAGCUGAACAUCGAUGUUUAAUUAAGUUGAUAGAAUGAUAUAGUUUAUUUGUAUUAACGAAGAGUGUAAAUCCACCUUUUUAAUUAAUAUAUUUUGCUUUUGCCCGUAUAUAAGUGAUAAUAAUGUAAGAGAUCUGGUUUUUUAAAGUGGCUUUUGUUAAUUCUCCUUCCUUUUCCUCUCCUAUUCAAACUUGAAACCUGUUAGGUAUUUGCCACUGAAUACGGCUUUUCGUUCCAAUAGUACUGUUCCAUCAUGUGAUUUUGUUAUUGUGUUGUCGUUGAUCAUGCAUAUGAAUGAGAAUUAGAAAAUGUCUUCCAAAGUACCGUUUCAUAGGUGAUCGAUAGGUGGCAAAACCGGCAUAAUUACUCGCAUCAUGUUUUGGUAAUUUGACACUGACUACCAGUUCUUUAUUUCACCGUUCUCUUCUUUCUAAUCUUUUAUUGUUCGAAAUUUCGUUGAUAGAUUGCCAAUUUCAGUUUGACUAAUCCUUUUCGAUCAUGUUUGGUUUUGGUUAUGUGCGUUGAGCUUUUGUUUAAUCCCAUCGCACCAUUACAUAAAGGCUUUCCAUUACUUUUUCGUUAGAUAUGUUUCGUGUGAUUUUACGUAGAUAAACCUGAUCCGGAACUAGAGUAUUGUUGCCAUUUUGAUUAUGUUGUUUGGGCCAUUUUUGUUAUUGUUUUGUUUUUCAUUGAGGAUAAAGGUGGAAAGUUCAUGUUAUAGAUUUGUGAUUUAUUGUGAUUUUUAGGUAUGGGAAGUAAGCACCGCCGCGCACGAUUAGGACGUAAUUGGAAGGAUCGGAGGAUACUGUAGGCAAGAAAGAAUAGAAGUCACAUGCCAAGCUACAUCAGAGAUUCUUCUGUUGCGGUUGUUGUAUGAUGGAGGCAGAUUUGGAGAAAUGAACAGUUAUUUCUGUAUUUGGCAGUUAGUCAUGGAAUAUAGAUAUACGAAAAUAGAGCAGUUGGGAGGAUGUGUCUUUCGUUGUUUUUGCAGUGUCAAAGGAAACUACUUUUUAGGGCAGUAGCCUAUCUCAGCAAUUCUGUACUUCAAAUUCUGGUUAAUUUCGCACUUGUUAUCAAUAAAAUUCUGUAAUUUUUUGUGCAAUCUUGAAUCUAACACUUUGGUUCUGAAUUCUGACGUCUUUCUUAUAUAUCAUGUCAAUAUGAAUAAAACUGUUAAUGGUUUCGCUUCUACAUUUACAUAGGAUGUAGCCAAUAAAAACAUUCUGGAAUAUCAAUUCAUCAUCUAUGUCUGUGCCAUAUCUUACGUGAACCAAAAAUUUCAGCCUUUAUUUCGCAAGAUUGCUGCUGCCUUGCUGGGUAUAGAAACACUUCUUUCUACAAAACGGGAACACAUGGUUGAUGUAAAUUUAAAAGCUACAGUUGAUUCAUCCCAGACGAAGCAGCAGGGAGGUGUGUUGCUUUAGCAAAAGAAAGGCCAUUCAUAAGAGCCAUUUAAGUAUGUUCCCUAAGCACAAUCACGGAACUGGCUACUAAAAUGUACAGAUGCAGAUGAGACAGACAUGCUUCCAUACCAAUAUUUCGUCAGUGUUUAGUUAUGGGAGAGAGGUUUGCAGUAAUUUUUUACGGAAGGUAAAGAAAUUGAUAGUCAUUUAAUUUAAUUUCAUUUAUUAUACAGUUAGACCCUUUAAUGUAAGAAUGCAG
rnacentral:sRNA from 1 species